rnacentral:tRNA from 1 species
GCGGGUGUAGCUCAGUGGUAGAGCUAUUCUUUGCCAUAGAAUAGGUCGCGCGUUCGAUCCGCGUCACCCGC